GAGUGCUGGGAUUACAGGCAGAGCCAUCACGCCUGGCCGCAUUUUGCUUUCUGACCUUCUACAGAGAACCUGCAAGUCUAACUUAGUUUUUCCUAAAGAAACAGAAUCAACUGGAGUGACUCCUGGGCCAAUUCCCUGAGAUUACCAUUUUCUAGAUCUUUAAUGGGGCUCAGGAAUUUGUAGUUUAAGAUCUGCUGGCUGAAUUUAUCCCAUAUACAGCUACCACCGCGCCCGGCAUCAUUCUAUUUUUUAAGCACUGGUCAGGGGCAACCUGUGCUGAAAAGUGCACUGAGUGUGGAGUCAGAAGGCCUGUGAUUAUAAUUUGCCAACAUUGUUUAUGAGCUCUGUGAACUUGGACCUUAAUAUCUUUGAGCCAUGUCUGUAAAUAGGGUGAUAAUAAAUCAUUUAUAUCGGCUGAGUGCGGUGGCUCACGCCUGUAAUCCCAGCACUUUGGGAGUCCAAGGUGGGCAGAUCACGAGGUCAGGAGUUAGAGACCAGCCUGGUCAACAUGGUGAAACCCCAUCUCUACUAAAA